AACGAACGCUGGCGGCAUGCCUAACACAUGCAAGUCGAACGAGACCUUCGGGUCUAGUGGCGCACGGGUGCGUAACGCGUGGGAACCUGCCCUUAGGUUCGGAAUAACUCCCCGAAAGGGGUGCUAAUACCGGAUAAUGUCUUCGGACCAAAGAUUUAUCGCCUUUGGAUGGGCCCGCGUUGGAUUAGCUAGUUGGUAGGGUAAAAGCCUACCAAGGCGACGAUCCAUAGCUGGUCUGAGAGGAUGAUCAGCCACACUGGGACUGAGACACGGCCUAGACCCCCACGGGGGGAAGCGGGGGGGAAUUUUGGAAAGGGGGCGAAAGCCUGCUCCACCAAGGCCGGGUGGGUGAUGAAGGCCUUGGGGUUGUAAAGCUCUUUUACCCGGGAUGAUAAUGCCGGUACCGGGGAAAAAAGCCCCGGCUACCUCCGU
rnacentral:rRNA from 1 species